rnacentral:rRNA from 1 species
CCUACGGGAGGCAGCAGUGAGGAAUAUUGGGCAAUGGGCGAGAGCCGGAACCAGCAAAGUCGCGUGAAGGAUGACGGCCCUACGGGUUGUAAACUUCUUUUGUCAAGGAGCAAAUGAGUCCAAGUGUGGUCUUAGCGAGAGUACCUGAAGAAAAAGAAUCGGCUAACUCCGUGCCAGCAGCCGCGGUAAUUAGGAGGAAGCGAGCGUGACCCGGAUUUAUUGGGUUUAAAGGGUGCGUAGGCGGCCUUUUAAGUCAGCUGUGAAAGUCUGUGGCUCAACCAAGGAAGGGCCGUUGAAACUGGGAGGCUUGAGUAUGUUUGAGGCAGGCGGAAUGCGGGGUGUAGCGGUGAAAUGCUUAGAUAUCACGCAGAACCCCGAUUGCGAAGGCAGCCUUC